UACAGAGGUGGCAAGCGUUGUUCGGAAUUACUGGGCGUAAAGGGCGCGUAGGCGGCUAGAUGUGUCAAAGGUGAAAUCCCUCGGCUCAACUGAGGAACUGCCUUUGAAACUGUCUGGCUUGAGGCCGGGAGAGGGUAGCGGAAUUCCCAGUGUAGCGGUGAAAUGCGUAGAUAUUGGGAGGAACACCUGCGGUGCAGACGGCUUACUGGACCGUAACUGACGCUGAGGCACGAAAGCGUGGGGAGCAAACAGG
rnacentral:rRNA from 1 species